rnacentral:rRNA from 1 species
GACGAACGCUGGCGGCGUGCUUAACACAUGCAAGUCGAACGCUGAAGCUUGGUGCUUGCACUGGGUGGAUGAGUGGCGAACGGGUGUGUAAUACGUGAGUAACCUGCCCUUGACUCUGGGAUAAGCCUGGGAAACUGGGUCUAAUACUGGAUACGACAUGUCACCGCAUGGUGGUGUGUGGAAAGGGUUUUACUGGUUUUGGAUGGGCUCACGGCCUAUCAGCUUGUUGGUGGGGUAAUGGCUCACCAAGGCGACGACGGGUAGCCGGCCUGAGAGGGUGACCGGCCACACUGGGACUGAGACACGGCCCAGACUCCUACGGGAGGCAGCAGUGGGGAAUAUUGCACAAUGGGCGGAAGCCUGAUGCAGCGACGCCGCGUGAGGGAUGACGGCCUUCGGGUUGUAAACCUCUUUCAGCACGGAAGAAGCGAAAGUGACGGUACGUGCAGAAGAAGCGCCGGCUAACUACGUG